AACGAACGCUGGCGGCAGGCUUAACACAUGCAAGUCGAGCGCCCCGCAAGGGGAGCGGCAGACGGGUGAGUAACGCGUGGGAACGUACCCUUUACUACGGAAUAGCUCCGGGAAACUGGAAUUAAUACAGUAUGUGCCCUUCGGGGGAAAGAUUUAUCGGUAAAGGAUCGGCCCGCGUUGGCUUAGCUAGUUGGUGGGGUAAAGGCCUACAAAGGCGACGAUCCAUAGCGGGUCUGAGAGGAUGAUCAGCCACAUUGGGACUGAGACACGGCCCAAACUCCUACGGGAGGCAGCAGUGGGGAAUAUUGGACAAUGGGCGCAAGCCUGAUCCAGCCAUGCCGCGUGAGUGAUGAAGGCCUUAGGGUUGUAAAGCUCUUUCACCGAUGAAGAUAAUGACGGUAGUCGGAGAAGAAGCCCCGGCUAACUUCGUGCCAGCCGCCGCGGUAAGAC
rnacentral:rRNA from 1 species